GGGUUGUGAGGUUAAGCGACUAAGCGUACACGGUGGAUGCCCUGGCAGUCAGAGGCGAUGAAGGGCGUGCUAAUCUGCGAUAAGCGCCGGUAAGGUGAUAUGAACCGUUAUAACCGGCGAUACCCGAAUGGGGAAACCCAGUGUGACUCGUCACACUAUCAUUAACUGAAUCCAUAGGUUAAUGAGGCGAACCGGGGGAACUGAAACAUCUAAGUACCCCGAGGAAAAGAAAUCAACCGAGAUUCCCCCAGUAGCGGCGAGCGAACGGGGAGGAGCCCAGAGCCUGAAUCAGCAUGUGUGUUAGUGGAAGCGUCUGGAAAGGCGCGCGAUACAGGGUGACAGCCCCGUACACAAAAGCGCAUGUGCUGUGAGCUCGAUGAGUAGGGCGGGACACGUGGUAUCCUGUCUGAAUAUGGGGGGACCAUCCUCCAAGGCUAAAUACUCCUGACUGACCGAUAGUGAACCAGUACCGUGAGGGAAAGGCGAAAAGAACCCCGGCGAGGGGAGUGAAAAAGAACCUGAAACCGUGUACGUACAAGCAGUGGGAGCCCCACCACCAAAGCAUUUGCUGUACCGCGUUGACGGAGCGAAGCGACGUCAAACCGAU
rnacentral:rRNA from 1 species